GUCUACGGCCAUGCCACGCUGAACAAGCCUGCCAUCUGAUCUGGAAGCUAAGCAGGGUUGGGCCUGGUUAGUACUUGGAUGGAAGACCACCUAGGGAGACCAAGUGACUGUAGGCA
rnacentral:rRNA from 1 species